AGAGUUUGAUCCUGGCUCAGGAUGGACGCUGGCGGCGUGCCUAAUACAUGCAAGUCGAACGGGUGUAGCAAUACACUAGUGGCGAACGGGUGAGUAGCACGUUGGUGACCUGCCCUAAAGAGGGGAAUACCACUUCGAAAGGAGUGACAAAACCCGCAUAAGCUGAUGCUAGUUAGAGAGGCAUUAGUAAAAGAGCAAUCUACUUUAGGAGGGGCGUGCGGCCCAUCAGCUAGUUGGUGAGGUAAAAGCCCACCAAGGCGAAGACGGGUAGGGGACCUGAGAGGGUGGUCCCCCACAAUGGAACUGAAACACGGUCCAUACACCUGCGGGUGGCAGCAGUAGGGAAUAUUGCUUAAUGGGCGAAAGCCUGAAGCAGCAACGCCGCGUGAACGAAGAAGGCCUUCGGGUCGUAAAGUUCUUUUACGUGGGAUGAGGAAGGACAGUACCACGAGAAUAAGUCUCGGCUAACUACGUGCCAGCAGCCGCGGUAAAACGUAGGAGACGAGCGUUAUCCGGAUUUACUGGGCGUAAAGCGCGUGUAGGAGGCGCUACAAGUUGGAUGUGAAAGCUCCCGGCUUAACUGGGAGAGGUCGUCCAAGACUGUAGGGCUAGAGUGAGGCAGAGGUAGAUGGAACUCCGGGAGUAGUGGUGAAAUGCGUAGAUAUCCGGAAGAACACCAGAGGCGAAAGCGAUCUACUGGACCUAAACUGACACUGAGACGCGAAAGCCAGGGUAGCAGACGGGGUUAGAGACCCCGGUAGUCCUGGCCGUAAACGAUGUAGACUGAGCGUUGGUUGGAUAAAACCGAUCAGUGCUGAAGCAAACGCGAUAAGUCUACCGCCUGGGGAGUACGGUCGCAAGAUUAAAACUCAAAUGAAUUGACGG
rnacentral:rRNA from 1 species